rnacentral:rRNA from 1 species
GGCCCAGACUCCUACGGGAGGCAGCAGUGGGGGAUAUUGCACAAUGGGGGGAACCCUGAUGCAGCGACGCCGCGUGUGGGAAGACGGUCCUCUGGAUUGUAAACCACUGUCCCCAGGGACGAAGAUGACGGUACCUGGGGAGGAAGCUCCGGCUAACUACGUGCCAGCAGCCGCGGUAAUACGUAGGGAGCAAGCGUUGUCCGGAAUUACUGGGUGUAAAGGGAGCGUAGGCGGGAUGGCAAGUUGGGUGUUAAAUCUACCGGCUCAACUGGGAGUCGCACUCAAAACUGCUAUUCUUGAGUGAAGUAGAGGCAGGCGGAAUUCCUAGUGUAGCGGUGAAAUGCGUAGAUAUUAGGAGGAACACCAGUGGCGAAGGCGGGUUCCUGGACAUUAACUGACGCUGAGGCACGAAGGCCAG